AGCACGGUUAUGGUGGGCACUCUAGGGAGACUGACCGGUGACAAACCGGAGGAAGGUGGGGAUGACGUCAAGUCAUCAUGGCCCUUACGGCCUGGGCUACACACGUGCUACAAUGGUCGGUACAAAGGGUUGCCAAGCCGCGAGGUGGAGCUAAUCCCAUAAAACCGAUCGUAGUCCGGAUCGCAGUCUGCAACUCGACUGCGUGAAGUCGGAAUCGCUAGUAAUCGUGAAUCAGAAUGUCACGGUGAAUACGUUCCCGGGCCUU
rnacentral:rRNA from 1 species